CCCCAAACGUGUCCGAUUCCCCAAACCUGUCCUUUCUCCCCAAACGUGUCCUUAUUCAAUAUUGCCCAAACAUGUCCGAUUUCAUAUCCCCCAAUCGUGUUCGAUAAUUGUUUUUCGCCAAAACCUGUUCAAUAUUAAGCGUCAGAACGUCUACCUCUUUUCGCGCUUAUACAUGAAUGUCCUAAAGGAAAUCAAUAACGUUAACGGCAAUUCUAUAAUAGGGGACACAGUUGAUGAAGUGAUUAUUCAU
rnacentral:lncRNA from 1 species